rnacentral:rRNA from 1 species
AAGCAACGCGAAGAACUUACCAGGCCUUGACAUGCAGAGAACUUUCCAGAGAUGGAUUGGUGCCUUCGGGAACUCUGACACAGGUGCUGCAUGGCUGUCGCCAGCUCGUGUCGUGAGAUGUUGGGUUAAGUCCCGUAACGAGCGCAACCCUUGUCCUUAGUUACCAGCACGUUAUGGUGGGCACUCUAAGGAGACUGCCGGUGGACAAACCGGAGGAAGGUGGGGAUGACGUCAAGUCAUCAUGGCCCUUACGGCCUGGGCUACACACGUGCUACAAUGGUCGGUACAAAGGGUUGCCAAGCCGCGAGGUGGAGCUAAUCCCAUAAAACCGAAUCGUAGUCCGGAUCGCAGUCUGCAACUCGACUGCGUGAAGUCGGAAUCGCUAGUAAUCGUGAAUCAGAAUGUCACGGUGAAUACGUUCCCGGGCCUU